AUGGAGGAUGAAUUGUUUUGCGACAUAUCCGCGGAUUUCCUAGGCAGGAGCAAAGGGUGGAACUUCUGGCAGCAGUGUCAUCAAGUUUUGUCAAGUGGUUGCUCAGUUGGAGGCAAGAUGGUCAUUGCAUGCGGCAACGGAGGAGAUCCGCUCCGCUCUGCGCCGGCGGCCACUCCGGCGCCGGCGGCCACCCAAAAGCGCCGCCUUCCACUCCGGCGGCGGUGCCCACCUCUCCGCGGGGCCAUGGCCUCUAGGGUCUCCCUCUCUGGUUCGUUCUCGUCUGAGUACGACGCUCCCCUGUCUCCUUCCCCCCACGUGGUGCCUCUUUCCUCUCCUCCCCCCGCGCCACCGCGGCCUCAACUUCGCUCCGCCAUCAUCGUCCCCCAUAUCUUGGGCACCCCUUUCGAGCCGGUGGUGCAAGGCGGCGCGGCGGUGCCGCUGACCCGCGCCCAGCGCCCGCCACGCCGGCGGCAGGAGGGGCGGAGGCGUGUCCUGACGGCGGCUCGCCCUCCUCCCUCCUCCAAGCUCCCGGUGGAGUUGUAUGGCUGCUGCUACAACUACGGCAGUGAUGGGCAUAUCUCCAGGGGGUGCACGAACCCCACGCUCUGCGUUCGUUGCCAUGGGCCUAGUCACACCUCACGGGGCUGCACCCGUCCGCGCAGCCCAUCUCCGGUGGAGCAGCCGCCGCGCCCGCCGCCUGCUCUGCGACUUCGAGCUGCGGAUGGCCCGCGCCAGGCAUCGCUAGCUUCACCCCCGCGCUCGCUGUCGCCGGCCCCACGCUCGUGCUCGCCAGCGGACCUACCGCCCCCUCCGCCGGGUCCCCCACCGCCGGGGGCGGUGCGUCUUUGGAGCCAGGUGGUGCGGGAUCCGCCCGCAGCGCGGUCACCGUCGAUGGGAAGAUCUGCAAGUCCGGCGUUCUCGGCGCCUUUCGACCUGCCGGAGGACCAGCGCUCUCGGUCGAACCUGUGCUGGGAUGGGGAGGUGGAGGCGUGCUUUCUGGAAGCUGCGAAAGAUACGCGCUCGCUUAGGCCGAGCUGGCUCGGGGUGUGCUGGUCACCGUCGUCGGCACCAGGCCGGUGGUGGAUGUGGACGCGGCGGCGGCUACGUUGCAUGCCGCGUUCGGCGUUGGACUGGCGGAGAUGUCCAUUCGGCGCUUCUUCCCCGAGGAUUUCCUCGUGCUCUGCCAUGACGGCUCAGGCGACGGCGGCUUCCUUGCCGUACCUUGUCCCGAUUUCGCUCCGGGGUGUGCCGGCGCAUGCGUGGUGCCGGCGGACUGCCAGUGUGAUCCCGCGUGGACUGGGCUACGUCGUCGGGGUUGAUGAGGAUACUGCAGGAAGGAUUGACAUGGCGGACUUCAGGGUCUGGUUGCGCACGGACCGGCCCAGACGGAUCCCCAGCCGGCGUCUCCUCUUCAUCGACGAGCCAAGGCGCACGCUUUGGUCGGAGGCGGAUGGACGACGGUCGGCGGCCGGGCGUUGCUCAAGCGCGUUCUGGUACCCCAUCGAGAUCCUGGUGCUGCCGGGCGUCAUGGUGGAUGGUGACGGGGCGGCGCCGCCGCCGCCACCGCCACCGCCUCCCUCCCCUUCCACCGGAGACGAUGGCGGUGGCAGGGGGUCCUCUGGUGAUGGAGGUAGGGGAAGCCAUUCUCGCCGCGCUGGCGGUGGCUUGGUGCAUACGGCAGAGUCCUCGACGACGGCACCACCGCCGGCGGGUGCGCGCGCGUGCGUUCAAACCGCGCCUGUCUCGGUAGACCCGGUGGUCAACAGCAGCUGUGGCGCUGGCGUCAGAGAUUCCUUCGUGGGGCCGGUGGACCAGCCUUUGGGCGUGGAUAGGCCUGGGGCCGCCAGCUGGUCUGGCUCGCAGGUGGCGUCCUGUGCGGCCCCAGUCGGGGUGCUGCAGACCGUUGGUUCCCCUCCCUCGGUGCAAUUGGCCAGAUGGCGACGAAGCAUGGGGAUAGGACAUAGCGCUUUUCAGGUUGUAGGGCCCGGCGCGUCGGGGCUUCUGCCCUCUGCUGGGCAGAGCUUGGUGGACUCGGUCCAGAUUGCUGUGCAGGUGCUGUCGCUCUCAUGCACGGUUUCGAAUGGGAUAGGGCAAGUAGAGGCUUGGGAGACUUUCCAAGUCAAAUUGUCAGGUGGAGACUGCAGCCCAAUGCAUGUCGUCAAGCCAUGCACGCCUUUGGGGACUGCCCAGUUGGCUCCGCUGGAAGACAAGGACGGCCCAGCCCGGGUUUCCACGCCAUGCACACCCGGGAUCGAGGAACCGGUGGCCCCGCUUGAUGCUGGCCGUGUGCUGGCACCAGGCCCGAGGCCAUGCAUGACGGCAGCCAUGCAGAUCGCCACAGGGGGGAUUUUAACGUGGAUUUGGCCGAUUUUCGUGCUGACAUGCAUGUGCCAGUUUCUAACCGCUAACUGGGCCGCCUGUCCUAAGGACUGCUACUCCGGAAGCCGUUUCAAUGGCCUCUCGUUAAUUGGGCCAGUUUCGCGCACAAAAUUCAGUCCCAUGAAGCCCAUUAGCACACGAGCAUCUCCUCUCUCUCUCCCCGACCUCUCCUCUUAUCCGACCUGGCUGUGUUACCCUCACCCUAGUGCGCCGCCGCCCCCAGCCACUACCGGCGCAAACAUCAAGCCACGACUCAAUCUCUCGAUCUCGGCCACCGCAAGGCAUAGGCAUCGAACGGGGGGCAAUGAAUUUACUUCAAACUUGCUCCAUGUUAUAGGCAUCGGGUUGCCGUCGUGGCCCGCCGGCUGCCGGACGGUCGGAGCAUCCCAAUCUCGAGAGGGGAGAGACAUACGGGCUGGGAGUUCUGGAUUUGAUGUCGUCACACUGAUCAAUUCCACCAUGCCAGACGAGAAUCAUGUCGCCAUCGAUGCCUUCCACAGUCCAGAAGGACUCUAG
rnacentral:rRNA from 1 species